rnacentral:rRNA from 1 species
AUAUCAAUAAGCGGAGGAAAAGAAACCAACAGGGAUUGCCCUAGUAACGGCGAGUGAAGCGGCAACAGCUCAAAUUUGAAAUCUGGCUUCGGCCCGAGUUGUAAUUUGUAGAGGAUGCUUUGGGCGCGGCUCUAACUGAGUUCCCUGGAACGGGACGCCACAGAGGGUGAGAGCCCCGUAUAGUUAGAUGCCUAGCCUAUGUAAAGCUCCUUCGACGAGUCGAGUAGUUUGGGAAUGCUGCUCUAAAUGGGAGGUAAAUUUCUUCUAAAGCUAAAUAUUGGCCAGAGACCGAUAGCGCACAAGUAGAGUGAUCGAAAGAUGAAAAGCACUUUGAAAAGAGGGUUAAAUAGCACGUGAAAUUGUUGAAAGGGAAGCGCUUGUGACCAGACUUGCGCCGGGCAGAUCAUCCGGUGUUCUCACCGGUGCACUCUGCCCGGCUCAGGCCAGCAUCGGUUCUCGUGGGGGGAUAAAGGUCCCGGGAACGUAGCUCCUCCGGGAGUGUUAUAGCCCGGGGCGUAAUGCCCUCGUGGGGACCGAGGUUCGCGCAUCUGCAAGGAUGCUGGCGUAAUGGUCAUCAGCGACCCGUCUUGAAACACGGACCAAGGAGUCAAGGUUUUGCGCGAGUGUUUGGGUGUAAAACCCGCACGCGUAAUGAAAGUGAACGUAGGUGAGAGCUUCGGCGCAUCAUCGACCGAUCCUGAUGUAUUCGGAUGGAUUUGAGUAAGAGCGUUAAGCCUUGGACCCGAAAGAUGGUGAACUAUGCUUGGAUAGGGUGAAGCCAGAGGAAACUCUGGUGGAGGCUCGCAGCGGUUCUGACGUGCAAAUCGAUCGUCA